GAGGGGAGCGUUAUCACAACAAAGCUUCACUCAGGGCCCCCGUGUGGUACUGGCACUCAAGUGUGGACUGCAUGCAAGGUAGCACACACACCUGACUAGGUGAGCUGUCUCCCUUCCUCACCCACCUUUCAAAGUCUACUAAGGAAAGUGAAGCAUUUUGGAUGUUCUAUUUUUUUAGAGCCACCAAGUUGAAGAUGCUACCAUGAUGCCAUCCUGACCUCCCUGGACAGAUGAAAUUAUAUCAUUUUCAUAAAGAAACUUUGGUAUAGAAAUCAUAUCUAUAGCCUAUCCAAAUUGUCUGCCCACAACAACAUCAUGAAAGCAACGCUACAUAGUGCAAGAACAGGCCCAGGAAGCAGCCGCUGUCUCUGCGUACAGACAGCAUCACACAAGCGAAGAAACAAAACUACAAGAUGCAUCCUUCUCUUCCUGUGGAGAGGAUCAGACUAUCGCCAUCAACACAUUGAAUACUGGAGACAUUAUCUGAGCCACCAGGUUCCAGAUGCCAGCAUGAUGCCAACCGGACUUCCUGGACAGACGACCCCACCAAUGUGUCCUGGAGCUCUGCUUCCCCAGAGUCCUGACCCACUAGGGAAAGAGAGAGACAGGCUGGGAGUAUG